rnacentral:misc_RNA from 1 species
ACAGGAAUCUGCUUCAAGAGAUGAGGCUGAGCUCUUAUUCUUCAAUAAUUAAUCCUUGGGUGAAUUGAGGAUCUGUUUCAAAUAAACUAGUUUCCACAUGGAUAGCUCCACCAUUGUACUUACAUUUGAAGGAUAUCAACAUUUUCUCUGUUUUUAUUUGCUCUCAAUAAGAUUUUCAAUUUUGUUCUUCAAUUUUUUCAUGGUAUCAGAGACAUCGAUUGCUUCCUUGCAUCUGUUCCGAAGCAUAGGCUGCUUGAUCUUUGAGAGUAAUGAUUGAAAACUUGAGGAUAUGGCUGGCGGAUGCGAUAAGGAUUGGGAUCAAAUGGUUUUGCAGGGUUCGAACUUCGAAUCAUCCUGGGGUGACAUUGGUAAGUGCUGCCCUUACUGGUGAUAGCUACUAGACAUGGAGUAGAUCCAUGCUAAUUACUGUUAAGGCAAAGGAUAAAGUAGGAUUCAUCAAUGACAAAUGUGAAAUGCCCUAAUGAAGAUUCACCUGAACUCGAGAAAUGGAUGAAGGUGGCUAGCAUGGUAAUAUCAUGGAUUAUCAACUCAAUUUCUGAGGAAAUCGUUGAAGCUUUUCUUUAUAAAUCAGUUUACCAAAUUAAGAACAAGGCCCAUAUUUUGAAAUAUGGACCCUGAAUUAUGGGCCUCAUUUCUGACCUGGGCUUAUAUCGCUUUACAUGAAAAAAAUUGCAUAAAGUUUAGAGUCGUUUAUGAUACUUUAAAAUUUCAAAUUCGAGUACUAAACCAAAUUAAGUUAAGAA